UGCCUGCUGCCAGGGCUAAGCCUGGUUGGAGGUCUGCCUGCCUGCUGCCAGGGCUAAGCCUGGUUGGAGGUCUGCCUGCCUGCUGCCAGGGCUAAGCCUGGAUGGAGGUCUGCCUGCCUGCUGCUAGGCCCAGCCUGGAUGGAGGUCUGCCUGCCUGCUGCUAGGCCCAGCCUGGAUGGAGGUCUGCCUGCCUGCUGCCAGGGCUAAGCCUGGAUGGAGGCCUGCCUGCCUGCUGCUAGGCCCAGCCUGGAUGGAGGUCUGCCUGCCUGCUGCUAGUGCUAAGCCUGGAUGGAGGUCUGCCUGCCUGCUGCUGGGCCAAGCCUGGAUGGAGGUCUGCCUGCCUGCUGCCAGGGCUAAGCCUGGAUGGAGGUCUGCCUGCUGCUAGGGCUAAGCCUGGAUGGAGGUCUGCAUGCCUGCUGCUAGGCCCAGCCUGGAUGGAGAUCUGCCUGCCUGCUGCCAGGGCUAAGCCUGGAUGGAGGUCUGCCUUUCUGCUGCUAGGGCUAAGCCUGGAUGGAGGUCUGCCUGCCUGCUGCUAGGCCCAGCCUGGAUGGAGGUCUGCCUGCCUGCUGCUAGGGCUAAGCCUGGAUGGAGGUCUGCCUGCCUGCUGCUAGGCCCAGCCUGGAUGGAGGUCUGCCUGCCUGCUGCUAGGCCCAGCCUGGAUGGAGGUCUGCCUGCCUGCUGCUAGACCCAGCCUGGAUGGAGGUCUGCCUGCUGCCAGGGCCCAGCCUGGAUGGAGGUCUGGCUGCCUGCUGCUAGGCCCAGCGUGGAUGGAGGUCUGGCUGCCUGCUGCUAGGCCCAGCCUGGAUGGAGGUCUGCCUGCGGCCCAGCCUGGAUGGAGGUCUGCCUGCCUGCUGCUAGGCCCAGCCUGGAUGGAGGUCUGGCUGCCUGCUGCCAGGGCCCAGCCUGGAUGGAGGUCUGCCUGCCUGCUGCUAGGCCCAGCCUGGAUGGAGGUCUGGCUGCCUGCUGCCAGGGCCCAGCCUGGAUGGAGGUCUGGCUGCCUGCUGCUAGGCCCAGCCUGGAUGGAGGUCUGCCUGCCUGCUGCUAGGCCCAGCCUGGAUGGAGGUCUGGCUGCCUGCUGCUAGGGCCCAGCCUGGUUGUACACUGCUGGAUUACUCUCCAUCUCCAUUAUUUCUUAACUGCCAUAUUCCUUCGAUUGACAACAAAACAGAACAUUUUAAAUUUGUAUUGAAUAAAACAUGUAUAUAUUCUG